UGCGUAGAUCCAGUACCGAAGCCAGUGCCCUUAGCCCAAUAUAAGUGGGAAUUAUCGUCGUUGCGCAUUCCGCCGCCCCCGCUAACGCCGCUACUACUGCUGCUCUGUCCAGUUCUCUGCUCAGUAGGCUCAUUUUGGCCGGUCUGAAGCAGUCCAUCGUCGGUGGUCGGCGGAGUAGCAUCCAACAGUUGCUUGAGAACUUGGAACGGCAGGGUCGGUAAAGAGGCAGCCAAAGGUGAGGAUAAUACCUCGCCACCUUCUCCAUCGUCGGAAACCCCAAGGGCGAGUCGCAGUAGACAUUGUGCUCGCUUCUUGUCUCUCAGUAGCACUUCAGCGUAACCCGGUAAUCGGAGGAACAAACCGAAAGCGGCGAGAGAAUGUGGCGGCACGUAUGGUGGUGGCGUCGAUGUUUUCGGCGAAGAAGUGUACGUUCUACCUUCUUCCAAGGCUUCAUAGAUAUCAUCGUUAGUCUCUAGUUUCACCCAGUCGGCAUCUGUUUGUUCCGGCGACGGUGACUUCUCUACGAAGGAUAACGGUCUACCGGAGUCAGGAUAUACGAGCGGUAAAUGGCGUGCCAAGACCGCCAAUCCACCGCCAGCGCUAAACACACCUAGCGAACUUUCGAUGCUCCUAUAGUUCAGCAAUUCGCUGUCGUUUUGUUUCGUUAUGUCCUCUGCAAGGCGAAAAAACGUAUCGUAAGCAGUUGUACAUCAAUAUCAUCGUUGUUUAUUCAAUGAAAUAUUGUUUUGGUUAAACACAUGGUGUGUAUAUACAGGAUGUUUCGGUAAAAGGAAACAAUCUUUUAAAAGCAUAUAAAUCAGAUAAAAAUAAGCUUAUAAGUUCAUGUAAAUUUUUUUCCUACAGUGUACUUUUGCUGAACUAUUUGCCUUUGAAGUUAGAAUCUAAAAAAAAAGCAUUUUCUAAAAAUAAUUUUUAUAUUACUUACUAGAUUUUAAUAAUCUUUGCAUUUUCAUACUAAGCGAAGAUCGUUAGAAUGGUAUGAUAUAUUUUGUGAUAUUACGUCAACGAAUAUGCGUCGAACCGUCCACAAGCUUUUCGAAAUAAGAUGAUUAAUAUGUUGCACUGACAUUGUAAAUUUGACCUAACAUAUCUAAAUUAACUAAUUAUAGUUGACACUUAAUCAGUCAUUUAAAUUAAUCAAAGAUAGUGAAAUUAACUUUAAGUCGAUCACCUGUCUCAUAGAAUAAAAUGCAAUCAUAAAAUUCACCAAAGUAGAGUUCAUGUUCCAUCUCUACAUUUCAAUAUCUAUAGGCGGCAGUUAAUACAUAAAAAUUAGUCUUAAGUACCUUUAGAAUCCUUGUUACGUUGACGCAAGAUCAAAUGUAAAUAUGGUUCCGACAACGAUACACCGCUGUCUUCGGCGAUUGCCAGUAGUUGCGCAAUCGUAAGCUGAAGAGGUAAAGGUGUGUUGGGACGAGAUGAAUGUAUGAGAUACUGUUGAUUUGUCGUAUUGGUUUGAUUCGCCACUGGAACUUGUCCAUUGCUGGUCGUAGGUUUGCUCGUAAUCGGCGUUCCAUCUGUAAAGACAAUGUGAAAGCAAGUAAUUAUAAUAAUUUUUUCAAAAGCAUAUAAAUUAUUUAAUUUUGAAAAAUAAUAAAAAAUAACAUCAACAAAAAAUCUUAUCAUUA